UACAGAGGUCUCAACCGUUGUUCGGAUUCAUUGGGCGUAAAGGGUGCGUAGGCGGUCGGGUAAGUCGGAUGUGAAAUCCCAGGGCUCAACCCUGGAACUGCAUUCGAUACUGCCUGGCUAGGGUACUGGAGAGGAGACUGGAAUUUACGGUGUAGCAGUGAAAUGCGUAGAUAUCGUAAGGAAGACCAGUGGCGAAGGCGAGUCUCUGGACAGUUACCGACGCUGAGGCGCGAAAGCGUGGGGAGCAAACAGG
rnacentral:rRNA from 1 species